rnacentral:tRNA from 1 species
AAGAAAUUAGUUAACUAUUCCAUAACAGUAGUAUGUCAUACUAAAAUUAUUAAUAUUAUUAAUAUUUCUUU